rnacentral:misc_RNA from 1 species
AAAUACGACAGUUACUUAUUGAUCAUGUUGGUCACCAUAUUUGCUGGGGAAGUCAACCUGCGCGGAGGUGGAAAAUUUCUGCUAUUGAAGACUGUAAUGUGUACAUUGGAACUUUAGAAACUUUCACAGAGGAAAGAGAAAUUACAAGAGUAACAGGGCCAUAUUCGGGUGGUGAUAUUGAUGGGAAUGGUAAGGAUCCUGAAGUUGGAUUAUGGGA